rnacentral:rRNA from 1 species
AUUGAACGCUGGCGGCAGGCCUAACACAUGCAAGUCGAACGAGUGGCGGACGGGUGAGUAAUGUCUGGGAAACUGCCCGAUGGAGGGGGAUAACUACUGGAAACGGUAGCUAAUACCGCAUACCAUCAGAUGUGCCCAGAUGGGAUUAGCUAGUAGGUGGGGUAAUGGCUCACCUAGGCGACGAUCCCUCGCUGGUCUGAGCGGAUGACCGGCCACACUGGAACUGAGACACGGUCCAGACUCCUACGGGAGGCAGCAGGGGGGAAUAUUGCAAAAGGGGCGCAAGCCUGAUGCAGCCAUGCCGCGUGUGUGAAGAGGGCCUUCGGGUUGUAAAGCACUUUCAGCGGGGAGGCGUUACCCGCAGAAGAAGCACCGGCUAACUCCGUGCCAGCAGCCGCGGUAAUAC